CGCGUAGGUGGUAGUGCAAGUCUGGGGUGGAAUCUUAGGGCUUAACCCUAAAACUGCCUUGGAAACUGCAUUACUUGAGUCAGUGAGGGGAGGGUAGAAUUCCUGGUGUAGCGGUGAAAUGCGUAGAUAUCAGGAGGAAGGCCGGUGGCGAAGGCGGCCCUCUGGCGCUGAACUGACACUGAGGCGCGAAAGCGUGGGGAGCAAACAGGAUUAGAUACCCUGGUAGUCCACGCCCUAAACGGUGGGCACUAGGUGUAGGGCUCGUAAGGGUUCUGUGCCGAAGGGAAACCAUUAAGUGCCCCGCUGGGGAGUACGGCCGCAAGGUUGAA
rnacentral:rRNA from 1 species